UACGAGGGGGGCAAGCGUUGUUCGGAAUUAUUGGGCGUAAAGGGCGCGUAGGCGGUGCGGUAAGUCUGAUGUGAAAUCUCCGGGCUCAACUCGGAGUCUGCAUCAGAAACUGCCGUGCUCGAGUGUGGGAGAGGUGAGUGGAAUUCCCGGUGUAGCGGUGAAAUUCGUAGAUAUCGGGAGGAACACCAGUGGCGAAGGCGGCGACCUGGGCAGAUACUGACACUGAGGUGCGAAAGCGUGGGGAGCAAACAGG
rnacentral:rRNA from 1 species